UACGUAGGGUGCGAGCGUUAAUCGGAAUUACUGGGCGUAAAGCGUGCGCAGGCGGUUCGUUGUGUCGGUGGUGAAAGCCCCGGGCUUAACCUGGGAAUGGCCAUGGAAACUGGCGAACUGGAGUGUGGCAGAGGGGGGUGGAAUUCCGCGUGUAGCAGUGAAAUGCGUAGAUAUGCGGAGGAACACCGAUGGCGAAGGCAAUUCUCUGGGCCUGCACUGACGCUCAUGCACGAAAGCGUGGGGAGCAAACAGG
rnacentral:rRNA from 1 species